rnacentral:rRNA from 1 species
GUACACUCCUGCGGGAGGCAGCAGUGGGGAAUAUUGGACAAUGGGCGCAAGCCUGAUCCAGCCAUGCCGCGUGAGUGAUGAAGGCCCUAGGGUUGUAAAGCUCUUUCACCGGUGAAGAUAAUGACGGUAACCGGAGAAGAAGCCCCGGCUAACUUCGUGCCAGCAGCCGCGGUAAUACGAAGGGGGCUAGCGUUGUUCGGAUUUACUGGGCGUAAAGCGCACGUAGGCGGACUAUUAAGUCAGGGGUGAAAUCCCGGGGCUCAACCCCGGAACUGCCUUUGAUACUGGUAGUCUUGAGUUCGAGAGAGGUGAGUGGAAUUCCGAGUGUAGAGGUGAAAUUCGUAGAUAUUCGGAGGAACACCAGUGGCGAAGGCGGCUCACUGGCUCGAUACUGACGCUGAGGUGCGAAAGCGUGGGGAGCAAACAGGAUUAGAAACCCGGGUAGUCCC